UAUAAAUAACGUCUACCUAGGUAACUUAAGUUAGAAUUUCUUUAAAUAAAAUACACAACUUUUACUCGUUUACUUAUCUGUUGCCUUAGAUUUGUUUGCUGUUGUUAAAUGAUUGUUGGAUGCUCAUUUCAAAAUAGGCAACAGAUUUUUAUCGUAAUCGACAGACAAGUUGACAGUUUCCAGAGACUCACUUUGAUCUUGAAAGUGUCAAUUUACUUGACUAGUCACUUUUACGAUUUUUAUCAGGCUUAUCUGACUAGUCAGGUAAAGUGACAGUUUCAAGAUCAAAGUGAGUCUGGAAACUGUCAACUUGUCUGACGAUUGCAGUAACUUGAAAAAAAAAUUUUUUAAUUUAGUUUUCUAUAUUUCAAGCUCAAUCUAUUAUAAUUUGGGAUAAUUGUGAAGCAUCCUAAAGACUUUCGUUUAGGAUAUAUUUGUUAUGGCCAACCAGGAAUAUUUAAUUUUUAACUGGCACUAAAACGACGGUGACGAUUUUACGUUUCCGAUCGAGAAACCAUCGAAAUCUUGACCGCCUUUAGGUCGGGUUAUAGAAGGGUCAUUAAUUUAAUCCGCAUUAACUCCGUGAUUAAUUGAUCACGUGUUAAAAUUGAACCAGUUUGGAUGUUGAUUCAUUCACGAAAUUAACUUAUAACAGCGUACUGAAUUUCAACUGAGCUUUUUGUAAACUGAAUAACUACUUCGAAGUUGCUGGAACAGAACGCCAAAUUAACCCUGCUGCCUUAGGUGAAAUUGGGUCUAGAUCCGGCUCUGGUGUUCAGUGUUAUGAAAUUAGCUUUAGCCGUUAUACCUGGUUCUACACAGAACAUCAUCGAACCUUAACAAGACACUGCAUCUCACUCAAACAACUGAAGUUAACUAUCCAGUUCAUCCGCAUGCUAGGUCGCUGGGUCAUAGUCGCUCAUUCUUCGUUCUCGACGCUUGUA